rnacentral:rRNA from 1 species
UACGGGGGGGGCAAGCGUUGUUCGGAAUUACUGGGCGUAAAGGGCUCGUAGGUGGCCAACUAAGUCGGACGUGAAAUCCCUCGGCUUAACCGGGGAACUGCAUCCGAUACUGGAUGGCUUGAGUUCGGGAGAGGGAUGCGGAAUUCCAGGUGUGCGGUGAAAUGCGUAGAUAUCUGGAGGAACACCGGUGGCGAAGGCGGCGAUCCUGGACCGACACUGACGGUGAGGACGAAGCCAGGGGAGCAAAACGGGGAUUAGAAACCCUAG